rnacentral:rRNA from 1 species
AUUGAACGCUGGCGGCAGGCCUAACACAUGCAAGUCGCACGAGUGGCGGACGGGUGAGUAAUGUCUGGGAAACUGCCCGUUGGAGGGGGAUAACUACUGGAAACGGUAGCUAAUACCGCAUACCAUCGGAUGUGCCCAGAUGGGCUUAGCUAGUAGGUGGGGUAAAGGCUCACCUAGGCGACGAUCCCUAGCUGGUUUGAGAGGAUGACCGGUCACAAGGGAACUGAGACACGGUCCAGACACAUACGGGAGGCAGCAGUGGGGAAUAUUGCACGAUGGGCGCAAGCCUGAUGCAGCCAUGCCGCGUGUAAGAAGAAGGCCUUCGGGUUGUAAAGUAAUUUCAGCGGGGAGACGUUACCCGCAGAAGAAGCAACGGCUAACUCCGUGCCGGCAGCCGCGGUAAAAC